GGCAGCAUUUCCUUCGGGAAGAUGGCGACCGGCGCACGGGUGCGUAACGCGUAUAGAAUCUACCUUGUACAGAGGGAUAGCCUUUAGAAAUGAAGAUUAAUACCUCAUAAUAUAUAGAUUUGGCAUCGGAUUUAUAUUAAAGAUUUAUCGGUACAAGAUGACUAUGCGUCCUAUUAGCUAGAUGGUAAGGUAACGGCUUACCAUGGCAACGAUAGGUAGGGGGUCUGAGAGGAUUAUCCCCCACACUGGUACUGAGACACGGACCAGACUCCUACGGGAGGCAGCAGUGAGGAAUAUUGGUCAAUGGGCGCAAGCCUGAACCAGCCAUGCCGCGUGCAGGAAGACUGCCUUAUGGGUUGUAAACUGCUUUUAUAUGGGAAGAAACCCCUCUACGUGUAGAGGUUUGGCGGUACCAUAAGAAUAAGCACCGGCCAACUCCGUGCCAGCAGCCGCGGUAAUACGGAGGGUGCAAGCGUUAUCCGGAAUCAUUGGGUUUAAAGGGUCCGCAGGCGGUCAAUUAAGCCAGAGGUGAAAUCCUAUAGCUUAACUAUAGAACUGCCUUUGAUAC
rnacentral:rRNA from 1 species